GCUUACGGCCAUACCACGCUGGCAAUGCCCGAUCUCAUCUGAACUCGGAAGUAAAGCAGGGUUGGGCCUGGUUAGUACUUGGAUGGGAGACCGCCUGGGAAUACCAGGUGCUGUAAGCU
rnacentral:rRNA from 1 species